rnacentral:sRNA from 1 species
AAUUCGGCAAAUCGGCAAUUUGCCGGAAUUCACGAAUUUCCGGCAAAUUUGGCAA